AGCAGCAGCAGGAGUAGCAGCAGCAGGAGCAGCAGUAGCAGCAGCAGAGGCAGAGUUAGCAAAGUCAUGAGCACGCCAGCAGCCAGCUCUAUGGACAAAACAUCAAUGUACACCAAAUAGUUUGCAGUAGAGAGUGGGAUCAGGGCAUAGAGGAAUCCACUUCCUCUUUAACACAUUUGAGGGCCUCUGGGUCUUUCUACUUGGUGGAAAUGGGGCAAGUCACCGUGGGUCACCCAGAGGAAACUCCACACUGUCAUAUCAGGGGAUCUCAUCUGUUUUCCCAUCAACAUUUCCCUGCUCCUCAUUGCAAUACUUCUUACCAGCACCUUCUCUGGACUCAAGUGGCAAGAACUUCAGACCUCACCUUGGAUCUCCUCAAAUGACAGUCCACAGGGCCAGGACAUGAGGCAUGCAGCCCCAGUGUGACAGAGUGGUCAGAAGACAGUUCUGAAAGCCCACAGCUGGAUUUCUUUGAAGGGAAAAGAACAACAAAAUCAAUAUCGAAGAUUUCCCGCCCUUACAAAAGGAAGUCCCCCUUGGGUACCACUCUAUCCUGGGACAUCUGAUCCUAGCAGGACUAGGCAUGUCCUCUCUGCUGAGGACCAACCAGGCAAUCCAGGUAGGGGAAGGGGGGUCCAAUGGCAGGCUAGUGGUCCUGGGUUCUAUAAGAAAGUGGGCUGAACAAGCCAUGAGGAGCAUGACAGCCAGCAUCAUCCCUCCAUGGCCUCUACAUCAGCUACACCUCCAGGUUCCUGCCCUGUUUGAGUUUCUGCCCUCAUUGCUUUUGAUACCAAACUGUUAACUCUGAGUAAAAAAACAACCAACCAAACCAGACACCCAAACAACCAACCAACCAAACAAACAAACCAUCUUCUCCCCAAGGUGCUUUGAUCACAUUGUUUCAUUGGAAUAAUAGCAAACCUCACUAAGUUUAAAGAAAGACUUUUCUAUUUCUAAU